GACGAACGCUGGCGGCGUGCUUAACACAUGCAAGUCGAACGGAAAGGCCCUGCUUUUGUGGGGUGCUCGAGUGGCGAACGGGUGAGUCGCACGUGAGUAGCCUACCCUUGACUUUGGGAUAACUUCAGGAAACUGGGGCUAAUACCGGAUAGGAGCUCCUGCUGCUGGGUGGGGGUUGGAAAGUUUGGGCGGGUGUGGAUGGACUCGCGGGCUUUCAGCUUGUUGGUGGGGUAGUUGCCUACCCAGGCUGUGACGGGUAGCCGGCCCGAGAGGGUGACCGGGCACAAUGGGGCUUGGAUACGGGCCAGGACCCUACGGGGGGGCAGCAGUGGGGAUAAUUGACCAAGGGCGGAAGCCCGGUUCAACAAAGCCGCGGGCCGGAAGGCGGCCUUCGGGUUGGAAACCGGUUUCCGCAUGUGCGGAAGCUUUUGUGACGGUACCUGGUGAAGAAGCACCGGCUAACUACGUG
rnacentral:rRNA from 1 species